AUUUUGUCGGGCUCGGGUUCACACCAGGUCCAAAAGCUACACACAAUAACAUUCGACAUAUACACGCCACACUUAGCAGAUAUUAAAUUAAUUUGAAAAAAUUCUCAUUCCAAAAUUUCAGUGAAAUCACUUAUUACAAUUUUAGACUAGCAUGAGUUUCGAAAAAAAGUGUAAAAAAGUGUGCUGCAUGGUCUCAUUGCGAGUUAUGCAUCUUAAAUCUAAAUACUUUUUAUGCUACUUUGUUGCCCAUACUACAUAACAGAAAGUAAAGUGAGUGAGUAAUUGCUGCAUUAGAUUCUGUUAGACUAUAUACUACACACGGUACGUGUUUAACCAACACAGCGCCACCAAAAUGGCUUACCAAAUGAAGGGGACCUGAGGAGUGUGUUGGAGCUCACAAUUUCCUCUUAUAUUCUCUCUUGUGGUCGACUCGGGAGGUUGCUCCGCUUAGAGUCUGCUGUUCUGUAAAGCAAAAUAAAGGAAAACAACAAAAGAGAGUGGAGAGAGAGAGAGAGAGGAAAAUCUAGGAAAUACAAGAGCUACAAAAUUUUUGUAUUGAUAUUUAACAAUUUCGAAAAAUAAACGAAAAAAUGGGGGUGAAAAUGUGACCGCGUUUACGUUUUAGGGAGGUGGACUAGGUGUGUGUGCGAGUGAGUUAUUUGUUGUGGGAGGUGCGGAUUUGGAAGUUUAAAGAAAAGUUGGGCUGGACAGGUCGGGUCAAGGCCGAUUAUUAAUGGAAAUUUUGAGGCGGAUUGUACUAAAAAGAAGAAUUAAUUUGUUGCUGGUGAAAAGUUCUGAUUAAGACUGAUUUUUGAGUCAUUUAGUACAAAUCGAAAGAGAGGUGAGGCAAGGGAUCACUUCAUCUUCACACAUACACACACACACCUCCUCCUCCACGACGCUACUCGUGCAAGUACAGAAGAAGGAAAAAUAUACUAUAUUUUGAAAAUGGACGACGGAAACAACAGUAAUAACCAACAACCGUCCGGAAGUGGUGGGAAUCAUCAGCAGCAGCAUCAUGGUACUCUUCAAAGUUCAAGUAGUGGUGGUCCCUACAACCGGGUGCGACGCCCCUCCGCUUCGAUAAUUUCCAGUACAACGCCAAUGUUCCAGGCUCCGCAGAAUCCUAACCUGCAACUUCAACAACCCCCACCUCCGAGUUCUUUGCAUAGUCGGCAAAGGCGACAACAACAACACAAUGUCAUUCAAAACCACAACUUUGGAUCCGGUGAUAUUGAUGAUGAUGUUCAACCUCAGGCAUCCUCGUCAAGUUCUUCUAGUUCGAGUUUAAGGGGUCGGUUAAGUGCUGGAGUGAAUAAUAGUGCCAGUGCCAGUUCUAACAUUAAUAGUAAUAAUAGACCACAAUCUCCCAUGGGAAGCCUCCCUGAUUCUACAGCGUACUGGGGUCCAUCUCCUUCCCCGUCGGCUGCUUCGGUGAACAGUUAUAGAUCUCCACUUACUCCGGGGGGAAUGUGCGUUGUUUCUUCAUCCACAUCGGACGACAUUCCACAAUCCCCAUUGUCUCCAGAAGAUUUGGGUGGAAAUAGUAAUCAUGGGUUUCCUCAACCUCCUCCUCCUCCAUCUGCUGCCAUUGUGGGUCGGAAUUCUGCUGCUCCAUUGCCAAAUAUUAUGGACGUUAAUGAUUUUAACUUUAAUCAAAAUAUGGGAGGUCAGCUACCGCGGAGAAGACCGUCUUUGGUGGCUUCAUCUUCCUCUCACAAUUUGUCACUAUCAUCAUCCAGUAAUCCCAGAGGAGGAAGUAACAAUAUUGGUUUGGGUAACAAUCAGUUCCAUCAAAAUCAAAACCAAGAUCUCAACCAGAACCCAAGAGUAGGGUCAAACUCACAAGCCCAACAGCAGCAGCAGCAACAACAGUCCUUUAAUAUAUCACCGUUGAGAAAUAAAAUCAAGAAAGCUUCAAGUUUUGAAAGAUUUUCUCUCGCUCAGGCCGCCAUAACUCUGAAUUCUUCUAGUGGGAACAAUAAUGCUUCUACUGCUUCUCAUCAAAGCCAAAAUGUGGGAGUGGUGGGUAAUUCCAGUGGUGGCAGUAAUAAUAAUAUUAGCAGUGACACCUCCUUCUCAUCCUCCUCGAUCUCUUCAUUACCACCGACAACAACUUCUUCUUCGUCAACUACAAAUAAUAGCUCCAUCGGUACAAAUUAUACAAGUAGUAACUCUUCAUCAAACAACUCAGUCAAUCAAGUUGCUGGUCCGUCAUCCCGGACUAGUAUUUGGGAUCCUAGUCCUCCACCACCCCCACAUACCACUGCCACUACAACUACUACGGUCACUGAAAUUAUUACCCCCUCUUCGUCAGCAUCCGGUCUGCGGGCUUUCAGCUCUCUCGGGUUGUCGGAUAAAUUCCAUAUAAAAAUUCCAAGUAAAAAAUUGGCUGCCAAGAUUGCUAGUGUAUAUGAACAAGAGAAAUUAAAUGAACAAUUAAACAAUGCCAAUAAUAAUAAUAACCCCAGCCUUGCUGAGGCUGCAUCAAUCGUGGGAUCGUCAGGGUUAGUGAAACGAUCUGGCUUAUCCUCCGUGAUUGCAAGUGUUGCUGGCUCAUCGUCCCUGUCUCAAAAUGACAACAGUGGUGGUCUCAUUAUCACCAAUAGUAAUUCCUCCUCUCAAGUUGGCCAAAACCAUCAUCAGACCAAAGCGACCUCCUCCUCGUCGUCGUCAUCGUCAUCUACGCUAGCUCAGAUAUUAAAUCAAUCGAGUAGCCUCCACGUGAAUGGAAUCAUGACCGAAGAAAGUAUUAUGAACCACGAGGUCAACCAUGAAACUCUUAUCCGAGAAUUAAGUGAGGCUCCGCUGAAUUUGACGGAAAGCACAAAUUCAUCAUCGUCCUCAAACGCAAAUACCAAUAAUAGCAAUUCCAGUAGCAAUUCUCAUUUACAACAACAACUUUCCCAGCGUAAUCCCGUCAUCUCAUCAAGAACACUUUCAUCCACCCAUUCGAAAAAGAUUCCCCUCACUCCUAAACAGAAGCUGUUGCACAGGCUGCAAACUGGAGAAUUAAUGUCAUCACUUUCACCUCCACCUCAGCCAAUUGUGACCCUUUCUCAACAGCUUCAACAACAACAGCAAUCCCUCCCUGUACAAACUAUUCAACAGCAGCAACAACAGCAACCUCCCGUCGUUACCAUUCACCAAAGUCUUUCCCUGAGUUCUUCGGACCUUCAAAAUUCCAGUGGAAUCAAUCAUGUCGUUUCAAUGGGAAACAACAACAACACUUCUUCACAUUCUCCCCAGCAACAACUCGAUCAGUACAGUUAUGACCAGUUAUUGCGAGCAGCCAGGGAUGACUUUGUAGUGCAGGACUCUUUGGGGAAAGUGGUUGGGGUUGGAGAGGAUCCCAACAGUAUGCUUUCCGUGUACGACCCAGCGGACUACUCGUACUAUUCUUAUCAAAACAUUCUAGGAGAUGAGAACCUUUUCACCGGGAAUAAUUCCGCAUCCACUUCACGGCAGCUCCUGAUGAUGCCGUCGGGAAGCCUGGGCCCCGACACGAUGGACCAAGGACCUCAAGGACCUCUUGAAUUUGUCCUGGGUUUCAGCGGGUCCUCUGUGGAUGACCAUGAUGGGGGAGACCGGAAUAGAGAUGAUGACUUGCAAUUGAACAGUAUUGACCCAAAUGAUGCGUUGAGUGCCAUAAAAUCUCAGCAAACUGAAAGCACCCUCCGAAACCUACUCAUGAUGGACACUUUAAGGAAUAAUCAUACGGCGGAUGAUAACGCUUGGCUCACGUUGGCUGCAGAAUAUCAGAACAGAGUAAUGAAUGCGGAUACCAUGUCUAUCGGCAGAGGUGGAGGAGGUAACAUGAGAAGCAAUAACGCCAACAGUUCUAAUUUGAUUGUGGGCUCUGGGGGAAAUAUUGUGUCAAACUCAGGAUCAGUAGUGAACAUGUCUAAUAAUAGUAUGAGCAACAACAAUUCGUGGAUAAAUGAGUGGAGUCCAAGGACAUCCUCUUGGCAAUCGCAUCCUACAGUUUCAAUAACCAGUGCCGGUGGUAUAGGAGGAGGAGGAGUUGGUGGUGGUGGGGUUCAGGACGAAGUCAUGGAUAUGUCCAUGAUCGAACACGUCAAGCCUAUACCCAUGUCGAACCAGAUGAAACGGCUUCAGAUGCAGAUACAGUCCUCUGCAACUAAUAACGAGCAUGCAAUUGAUGAGAUGGAGAUCACGGGACUUCCAAUCUUGUCUCAAAUGUCAGUAAAUAUGCCUAUUGACCUUCAGCAGACCAUGUCAAUCUUGCCCCAUGGGAAAGAUACCCUUCCCAUGGAUCUCCAGCAACACCACAGGAUGGAUAUUGAUGAUGAGCCAGUUAAUUUAAUGUCUGUAAAUAUGGACCAAGAUCAGCAGGAUCUUAUCCAACAGCAUCACCAUCACAAUGUUGGCGGUGGUCAUUCGAGCCAUCUUAAUCAUCAUCAACAGCUCGAGCAAAACAAUAAAGGGAUGCAGCAACAACAGCAAAAUAAUUCGUAUUCUUUGCAAAUUCAAAGCCAUCAUUCUCCUCAAGAAAUGCAACAAAAUGUUUCCGAACUGAGCCUUAGCAGUAAUAACAACAAUAAUGGGAACACUAGUUCCUCUUCAAAUUCGGAUAAUAUUGAUGAACGACGAAUUAUUCGAGUGAAGAAAAAUAACAAGGAAACUUUAAUUAUGAACAACUUAAAUGAUGACUACCAACUCGCAGUGGAGGAGCAGGAGCAUCUUAACAUCAUAAUGGACAAGCCUGUUCAACCAAAGUCAAUUGCGUCACUCCCAUUGCCAUUCCGCCUGUCUCGUAUUUCUGGGAAUGAACUCGCAGUAUUCAACAAUACGACAAAGAAUAUCCCACCGAAUUGUAGACUCGGACCUGUCGAAGGUCCAUUGAGGAAAGCCACUGACGACAUUGCAAACAUGAAUGCUGCUUAUCCAUCCCUCGUGAUGGCGGACGGAAACAAUGACCUCUGGCAAUUGGACCGAUUAGAUGAUGAAUUUUGCAACUGGAUGAAAUUUGUUCGUCUCGCUCAUUCCAUCAAGGAUCAGAAUGCUCUAGUUGUUGAGAAUGAUGGUUAUCUGUACUUCAUGACCUGCAAAGAAAUUUCACCAGACACCGAAGUGCAGGUGGGAUACAGUUACGAAUAUGCACAAAAGUAUGGGCUGCCAUAUCUUUUACCAAUGGACGCAUUCUUGGACCAAGAUAAUCGUAUCAUGAAGGACAACAACUUGGUCAUAAGUGUGAAAUCCCCUGAGCCACAACCUCCUUCACCACAGCCUCAGGUUCAAAUGUUGCAUGACGAAGGACCAGAGGAACUUGAAGGAUGCGAGGACGAAGUUCAACAAGAGGCAAAAACUCUGACAAUCGAAACCUACCAGUGCUUCGAAUGUGACCAAGAAUUUUCUCUCGUGGAAGAUCUCCAAUCACACAUAAAUACUCAUAAAGAAGUCGAAGCGAUUCGUAAACCAAAGAAGAAGGCAAUUAAAAAAUUUCAUAAUAUUACUCCAGCCAAUGAUGACACUGGUAGAAACGUAUUAACCACAACCGCCAGCAGCAGUAGCAGUACCAUCACCAAUGCCACCGCUAGCACGAGUUCAAUCCCAUUGGGGAAAGUACAGAGUCAGACAAUUAAUUCGGUAAGCAGUACAGUAAUGGAGUCGUCUUCCAGCGGAUCAGGGAUAGUACAGCGGCAACAAACUGCUACACAGCGUCCUGCCCUUGGGGACAUCGGGAAACAACAGGAUAACAGUGUGACCACUGGGGUAGGACAACCAGCUGCUCCAGCUAAGGUCAAAUGCACAAUGUGCUACAAGUCCUUUGCUACCAAGGAGAGAUUAGAAAAGCACAUGAUUGUUCAUAGCGACGAGGACACGAAACCACUAAAAUGCAGUUUCUGUACAAAGAGAUUCUUGACAAAUUCUGCAUUGGCUGGACACACUAAAACACAUGCUGAGGAAGGAAAAUUCUUUGAAUGCCCAAUGUGCAAUAUCCAACCCACCAUGAGCAAUUUCUCCACCCCUCAAUUGUUACAACUUAAAGAACACGUUCAAACUCAUAAGAGCAGAGAUACUGGCCUUUUUUAUUGUCCAAAAUGCCCAAAGGGUUUCAUAUUCUACGCCAUGAUUCGAAAACACAUUCGUGCAUUUCAUGGCCCACGACAAUAUAGUUGUGAGGAUUGCCCAAUGUCUUUUCCAACAUCUGACAAAUUGAAACUUCAUCAGUUGAAGCACUCUGACCACAGGGAGUUUUUGUGUGCCGAAUGUGGCAAACAAUUUAAGCGUAAGGAUAAGCUCAGGGAACACACGAAGCGAAUUCACGAAACGAAAAAGAAAAUUAUUGAGAUAAACAUUCCAAAAGACUCUAAGAAUUCCAAGAAAUUUAUUCCCAAAGUGGCCCCCGAAGAAUAUCAGAGAUUUCCCUUUAAAUGUCAAGAUUGCAUGUUGGGAUUUAAAAGACGUGGAAUGCUUGUAAACCAUUUGGCUAAAAGACAUCCAGAAAAGAAAAUAAAGAGCGUGCCCGAGCUGAACCAACCAAUUUUACGACUGACUCGCAACUAUCCAUGUCUGUACUGCGAAAGAGUUUACAAAUCCAGUUCCAAGAGGAAAUCACACAUUCUCAAAGCUCAUCCAGGCAAACCAAUCCCUCCCCAAUUGAGGGGAGCUGCGUCAAACAGUAGCACAAGUUUGGAAGCAGCAGCCAGCAGUAGCACUAGCAGCAAUGUGGUUAUUGUUAAUAACAUUGAAGUGGUUCGGCCUCCAACAAUUGGAACUAUUGUGCAAACCGUAACAGAAGAUGGAGAUCCUAGGAGUGGAAUUAUGAAUGUUUCGUGUACCAAUAAUACUGAAAAUAAUCUGGUCUCUACCACCUCAACCAGUCACCCUGGACGAAAGGAAACAAAUAUUGUUGGGAAAGUUGCUGCACUACCACAUGCUUGCCAAUGGUGUUACAGGGAAUACGCAACUCGAGCUAAAUUAUUGCAACACCAGAGGAAAGCCCACAUCAACCUUAUGCCUGCUGAAAUGCAGACUCCUCGAACUCAAAAGAACAAUGUCUCAAAAGUUGCCAAGAAAGACAAAGGUCCAAAUUCAGAGGCUGCUGCAAGCUCAAGCAAUAAAGUGUCCCUUAAGGGAGAAGGGAUUCACCAAAAUGUGAUCCACGCCACGAAAACCAUGAUAAUGGAUCAACAGUCAACCUUAAUAAUCCCCGACUCAACUUCUGCAGCCUCCACAACUACUUCCUCCACUAUUCAAACCUUGGCCAGCGUCACGUCAGAAGGGUUCAACGAAGGAAACGUUAUAGGAUAUCUUCUUACCACUGCAUCCGUUUCCCCCAACGAUCUAGGAAAUCUUAUCCCCUCCGAGCUAGUAAUGCUUGGCGGUCCUAUCCCAGGUCUUAAUGGGUCUGGUACGACCACGGCUACGAUUUUGACAUCACAACAAUCACAGUCACUCGCCGCCGUUGGAGGAAACCCCAACCAAAAUAUCACAAUUAUAGCCUCUAGUAAUAGUAGUAAGAGUAAUAAUGUGUGAUCUCAAUAAUCACUCUGGUUUUGGCGAAACAGGUGAAAACUUAUUGACGUGUCACCCAUCCAUUCAUAUCUCAUUUCACUCACAGAAAAAUGGGCGAUUGAUCUAAAGCUAAAGAUAAAUCUCAUCCAGUCUUAUAUAGAAAAAGGAUGUAACCUACGCCUUUUUCAUUGUUGUUGUUUUUUUUGCACCAAGUCUAUAUGUGUCUGCCUAACCAAUGUUUACAACCCGGUGUAUAUCGUUGUAUUAUGUAAUUAUUGCGACUAUGGGUCUUAUGAUGAUGAUGACUACAUUAAAUAUGUAGAGUAUAUAUUUAGUUAGGUAGAAGAACCUUUGACCUUAUUACUAUAUAGUAAAUAACGUAGCGGAGCCCAAGACAGAAGAUGAAGAAGACUUUGCUUAAAAUAAUAUGUAAGAUUAAUUAUGACUUAGAAAAUAAUCUGUGUACAACAAAAACUACGCAAAAUAAUAUUGUACAUUUCUCGGUGAGAUUCCUUCAAUGGACAACUUAGGUUUAGAAAAAACAAAUGUCUUGUCAGUCACCUCCUCUUACAAAAGAAAUCAAGAAUUGAUAAUGGCAUGUUUCUUGUUACAAUAUAGAUAAUAUACAUAUGUGUAAUUACCUAAUUAUUUGACCACGUUUACAUUCUGCAUAUCCAUAAUCCAUACCUAUUUAAACUUAAUAGUAAUAUCAUCUCUCGUGACUUUUAAUCAUAAUUAUGUACUCUCUGAUGUGUAACAAUACUGAAAUAGCGUUGCUUUUAUUACACUUUUACCAUGAGUAAAAAUACCUUUGUCAAUUUAUUAGAGAAUAAUUCUACCAAAAUAUUUACUACCGUGUCUUUCAUUGCUGAAGAACGACUCCAAUUUUUGAACAUGCCUAAUUCAUUUGAAAUUUACCAUUUUUAUUACCCAUAUACAAAUACUUGGUAAGAGGAAUAUCACUUUUUGAGAGAACACAAAACAACCAGUGCCAAAAAGACGAGUUUAUAUGAGGAAAAUACAUUGUAUAUAACGUGAAGGAAACGUGUAUGCAACAAGUCUAUUUAAACUGGGGAGGCUUAAGACAUUAAGACUUGAAUUUUUAAGAACGUAACAAAUUUUGUAAAAAUUUCCCAUGUUUAAUGACUCCAAAAAUUGAGGGUAGUCUCAGCUAUACAUACACUUUAUUGGAAAAGGGAAACACUUGUACCUACAUAUAUCUCCAGCCAACACCGUAAAUAUCUAUGCAUACACAGCUUUCUACAAAGCAACAACACAUGUAUAAAAAAUGUGUCACCACAUCACCCUCCGAUUUUAGUAGCAAAUAAUCAUUAAAUUUUUUGUAAUAAUCUUAAGAUGCAUGCACAUUGUAAAGAACCAAUGUUAUUCCUCUCUUAGCCAAACCAAGCAAUUUUGCGGAUUAAAUGAGAGAAAGUACACAAACUAAUGGGUGCAGCUGCUGUGUGCAGUAUGAAACUCGACUCGAUUUCACAGAAUAAUGUUCCAAACUCCAAUAUCGGUUUAUGAUGUGUAGAUGAUGAUGAUAUGUAGGAUUAGAUUUCAAGUUUUCGAGCAGGAAAUUUAUCCCGAUCCCACACAUUUGCCUAUUUUUAGAAACCCAACUCAAGUAUCAAGUCAAUAUUUCAUCACGGUCAUACAUACACAUGUACCACAUCCGCCAACGCGAUCAUAUUGGACGACAGACCUUAACCCAGUGAAGACAUUAUAAAUAUGCACCUGUCAAAAUGACACCAGAGCGUUUUUAGAGCUUUUCCUAUACUAUUCAGUCAGUCUGAACAUCAUUUUCGUUAUGUUUCUUAUACACCACCACCACACGCCCACAGGUCUGGAACACAUUGCGGAUGAUUUGCAACAGUUAUUUUUCAUCCUGACAUUUUUUAUUUAAAAAUGAAAUCCAACAGCGUCAUCAUCAUCAUCGUAUGUAGUGCAUGAAUACACUUAUCUAUGUACAUAAGGCUGAUGCCACUUCUUGCUAGAUAUGUAUGAGGGAAGGGAAGGAAAGUUGCAAAAAUAGGUGUAAAGGAUGACGAGCUGAGAAAAUAAACUUUGUAAAACCAAGCCAAUCUUUCUCGAGCUGAGAGUAUUUGCACCACUUUUUGGUGGAUAUCAUCUCCUCGUGGAUGAUAGAUACAUAUGUAUUAAAGGAAUUUGUAUUUCAUACCUUUUUCAAAAAUUUAAAGACAUUCAUUUUGAAUAUCAGUACAAGUUUAAUAAAAAUAGAACGCCCCAUAUUUUGUGUACCUCCCUGACAAUUACUGUAAAACGAUAAUAAAAACUAAAUUAAGAGGAAUUUGAUUGUGAAAUAGUUUUUAAUAGUAGCUGUUCCCUGGGACAAAAACACAUCAUCAUGUAUUCCUCGACCCCACUGCUGUCAUCACCCCGACCAAAAAUAGUCGACUGGAACAAGAAAAGCUUAGAAGUUUAUGGAAUGAAUCACUUAAUCAAUGGCCCCACGACGCCGGAAGUUCUGAAAGAUUUGGUCAGCGAUCGGUGGAGGCCUCCUCACAAAUCGUGUGAGGAAGUCUAUCCGAAAAUUUAUGUUGGGAGCGAACGAGCUGCAAAGGAUGUACCGCUUUUAAAGUCGCUUGGAAUUACUCACAUUAUCAAUGCUGCAUGCACAGAGGUGAAAACUGGUGAAGUAUUUUACCUUCAGCAAGGUCAUCGGUUCACGCUACUCACCAUUGACAUUAGUGACAGUCCGACAGCUAAUAUUUCCACGUAUUUUGAAGAAGUCAACAGAUUUAUUGAGGUGGCCCUUCAUACAGGAGGAAAGGUCCUCGUACAUGGAAAGGACGGCGUGAGUAGAUCAGCCACGCUGGUCAUUGCUUAUCUCAUGAUGAGAAAAAAGCAAUGUGCCCUGGAAGCUGUGAGAAACGUUAGGAGAAAGCGGCACGUUAAUCCUACGGAUGGCUUUCUCCGCCAAAUAUGUGACCUGGACGAUAAGCUAAGGAAAGAUCAAGUCUUGUAAAAUAGCCCUUUUCUUAUUUUGUAGCCAAAAUUGUGUUAUUCCCACAUUCGUUAAAUACUUUGGAUCAUAUUCUCCAAUAAAUUAUUGGAUCGAUGA